rnacentral:rRNA from 1 species
UGGGGAAUCUUGCGCAAUGGGCGAAAGCCUGACGCAGCGACACCGCGUGGGGACGAAGGCCUUUCAGGUCGUAAACCCCUUCGCAGGGACGAAGCGAUCUCGUGACGGUACCUGCAGAAGAAGCCUCGGCUAACUACGUGCCAGCAGCCGCGGUAACACGUAGGAGGCGAGCGUUGUCCGGAAUCAUUGGGCGUAAAGAGCGCGCAGGCGGCCCGGCAAGUCGGGUGUGAAAUCCCGGGGGCUCAACCCCGGGCACUGUCGGGCUCGAGCACAGUAGAGGCAGGUGGAAUUCCCGGUGUAGCGGUGGAAUGCGUAGAGAUCGGGAAGAACAUCGGUGGCGAAGGCGGCCUGCUGGGCUGUUGCUGACGCUGAGGCGCGACAGCGUGGGGAGCAAACAGGAUUAGAUACCC